rnacentral:rRNA from 1 species
CCGGUAAACGGCGGCCGUAACUAUAACGGUCCUAAGGUAGCGAAAUUCCUUGUCGGGUAAGUUCCGACCUGCACGAAUGGCGUAAUGAUGGCCAGGCUGUCUCCACCCGAGACUCAGUGAAAUUGAACUCGCUGUGAAGAUGCAGUGUACCCGCGGCAAGACGGAAAGACCCCGUGAACCUUUACUAUAGCUUGACACUGAACAUUGAGCCUUGAUGUGUAGGAUAGGUGGGAGGCUUUGA